rnacentral:rRNA from 1 species
UACGGAGGGUGCGAGCGUUACUCGGUAUCACUGGGCGUAAAGGGCGCGUAGGCGGUCUAGCAAGUCUGGAGUGAAAGCCCAGAGCUCAACCCUGGAAGGGCACUGGAAACUGCUAGGCUUGAGAUCCGGAGAGGAGGGGGGAAUUCCCGGUGUAGCGGUGAAAUGCGUAGAUAUCGGGAGUAAUACCGGUGGCGAAGGCGCCCCUCUGGACGGAGACUGACGCUGAUGCGCGAAAGCGUGGGGAGCAAACAGG